rnacentral:lncRNA from 1 species
CAUAUUACAAUUUUCCCUAUUCAAGCCUACACUAUUACAUAAAGUAUGGAAGCAAUACAUAGAUACUUAUUUAUACAUACACAUAUCAUACACACAUGUGUGAAGUACAAAAGACACACCCCAAAUCUCCUUCAAAUCCGCUGCCCCUGCAGCUCCAUUUCCCUUUUCAACUCAAAAGACCAUACAUAUGGUACAAGAGCUUGUCAAGUCAGCCACCCUACACUCACACCUGCCCCUUCUUCAUGCUUGUCAUAGGAGAGGUAGCUGCCAACCUCCUCCUCUUAACAAAUCAGCCAAGAACUCACUUCACCAUUCUACACCGAGAACUCCACGAGAAGAACAGGGACUUCCACUCGUUUCCUGCUAGCAUUCAAGGUAACCUUUGCUUGAAUCUCCUCCAUCUUUCCUUCAUGUUUCAUCCUCUGUUCAUUAAAGAACAACAUAAAAUAUAUUUCAGUAAAUUCCAUCUAUCCCUUCCACCAAAGACAAGAGAAGCAGGACUUGAAAACUAACCCAAGAGAACACCAGCAAGUACAGAUCGUUUUAAAGGUUUCAUCUUGAACUCCCAUACCUCUUUCCUUUUUGCAUAUGAUUAAAACACCUCUCAUUUCUUAUUUCAGCAAACCACACGAGUUUAUACACGUUAAGCAGGAGAUUCAUGACAUAUCAUAUGGGCAUAACCAUCUCAUCAUUUCUGUAUAUAUAUAUGUAUAUUUUUUUUUAAUGGGAGCUAUACUAUACUCUGUUAUACAAGUUUGAAUGAUUUAAAGAAAGAAUUUUUAUGAGUUUACUUUCAACUUUGGGCUGUUGUAUCGAGUCGGGUAAGAGAGAGAGUUACCUUACUGAUUAAAUAGAGACGGGAGAUGGAGAGGGAGGGGGGACACGGCGUCGGUGCCGCUACUGUCCGGCCAAGCGAGAGGUUUGGGAGAGAGCCGGGGGAGAACCGGCGGUAGUCUGUUUCAUCGGCUGCUGUCGACCGAAGAUUUGAGAGAGAGGUGGCGGCCGUGGCUCCGCCGCGGUUGCUGGAGAUCAGAGGGAGAAAGAGAGGGGUGCCGUGUUGUGAGAGAGAGUUUUGGGUGGUGUCUGGUCUGGUCUGGGCUGGGGCCGCGGAGGACGGCGGCGGUCGUGGGUUGCUGUCGCCGGGAAAUUUUAAGGAGGGAGACCGAGGGAAGCGGCGGCGCCUCGUCGUCGCUUAGGAGGAAAACGGAGCGGCGGCUGCGGCUGCUGCUGCUGCUGUCGGCCGGUUGAGUGAAGGGGAUGGAGCUCAGACGGCGGUGGAUUUCGAUGGUGGAGGGGCGGAUCUCUGGCAGAGCUGAGGGAGAGAGGGCGAGCGAAUUGUGUGAGAGGGACGAGUGGAUUUUGUGAGAGAGAGAGAGGAUUCCGAUCUGUGAAGAAAAGAGGGAGAAGGGUUUGAG